rnacentral:piRNA from 1 species
UUGCUUAGCAAACACAUUACUGACUGG